UCCUGACAGCUACAUGGUGUAGCUGACACUAGCCACGACAGGAGAUUACAUAUG
rnacentral:sRNA from 12 species